CCCUUAGAUGUUCUGGGCCGCACACGCGCUACACUGAAGGAGGCAGCGUGUACUACUGGAUCGAAAGAUUUGGGUAACCCGCGAAUCUCCUUCGUGCUAGGGAUUGAGGUUUGCAAUUAUCCUUCAUGAACGAGGAAUUCCCAGUAAGUGCAAGUCAUAAGCUUGCGCUGACUACGUCCCUGCCCUUUGUACACACCGCCCGUCGCUACUACCGAUUGAAUGAUUUAGUGAGGACUUCGGACUGGGACCGAUGCGGCUUUCGGGCUGCGUCGGUAUUCUGGAAAGAUGUCCAAACUGUAUCAUUUAGAGGAAGUAAAAGUCGUAACA
rnacentral:rRNA from 1 species